UCCUGAAUGGCUCAGAUGGUAAAGAAUCUGCCUGUAAUGCAGGAGACCCAGGUUUGAUCCGUGGGUCAGGAA
rnacentral:tRNA from 1 species